GGGGAAUAUUGCGCAAUGGGCGAAAGCCUGACGCAGCGACGCCGCGUGAGUGAAGAAGUUUUUCGGAAUGUAAAGCUCUGUCAAGAGGGAAAAUUGUGAUGGUACCUCUAAAGGAAGCCCCGGCUAAUUACGUGCCAGCAGCCGCGGUAAUACGUAAGGGGCGAGCGUUAUCCGGAUUUAUUGGGCAUAAAGGGCGCGUAGGUGGCAUUUUAAGUCAGAUGUGAAAGGCCUUGGCUCACCCAAGGUUUGCAUUUGAAACUGAUUUGCUAGAGGUCAGUAGAGGAAAGCGGAACUCACAGUGUAGCGGUGAAAUGCGUAGAUAUUGUGAGGAACACCAGUUGCGAAGGCGGCUUUCUGGCCUGAUCCUGACACUGAGGCGCGAAAGCGUGGGGAGCAAACAGGA
rnacentral:rRNA from 1 species